rnacentral:rRNA from 1 species
ACAGCAGUCGCCACGGUAAAACGUAGGUGGCAGGCGUUGUCCGGAAUUAUUGGGCGUAAAGGGCUCGCAGGCGGUUUCUUAAGUCUGAUGUGAAAGCCCCCGGCUCAACCGGGGAGGGUCAUUGGAAACUGGGAAACUUGAGUGCAGAAGAGGAGAGUGGAAUUCCACGUGUAGCGGUGAAAUGCGUAGAGAUGUGGAGGAACACCAGUGGCGAAGGCGACUCUCUGGUCUGUAACUGACGCUGAGGAGCGAAAGCGUGGGGAGCGAACAGGAUUAGAUACCCCUGUAGUCCCUGUCUCUUAUAC